rnacentral:lncRNA from 1 species
GAGAGAGCACUGACUGUUCUUCCAGGGUCCUGAGUUCAAAUCCCAACAACCACCUGGUGGCUCAAACCCAUCUGUAAUGAGAUCUGAUGCCCUCUUCUGAUGUGUCUGAAGACAGCUACAGUGUACUUACAUAUAAUAAAUAAAUAAAUCUUAAAAAAAGAAAAAAAGAAGGUCUGGAGAGAGGCUCAUUGGUAAGAUCACUUGCUGUAUUUGUAAAGGACCCAGGUUUGGUUCCCAGUUCUCAAGUGAGCCAUAAGUGUCUGUAACUCUAGUUUCAGGGGACCUGACACCCUCUUUUGGUCUCCUUGGACACUAGGUACACAGACAUACACAUAAAUAAAUAAAUAAACUUCUAAAAAAAGUUCCAUUAUGAUACUUAUAAAAUUAAACUGUAAGCAUUUAGGAAUAUUUUAUGCAGUGGCACCAUCAUAAAAGUUAAGUAUGCUACCAAUUUAGGUAUCAGGUAAUGCCAGGUUAAAAGCAAAAGAAAAAUUUCCACUUGUCUCAUUCUUUAUCUCCCAUUCAGAAGGGGUUAGACCCUGUGGUGUGAUUAUGACUCUGUCUCUUGCUCCCUGCACCACUGGGCACCCAACAGUAGCCUCUCACCUGUGAAAUGGAGCUACAUUACUCAGGCAUCAUAGACUUAAUGUUUAAAUGAAUACAAGAUACAUGUCACACUGUCAGACAGACUCAAGGAAAGUUCACAGCUAAUUAUCAUUUCUUAUUGUUACAUUGAAAGAAUUUAUGAGUACAAGGCAAUUCAAAGCUAGCAAUUCAAAUUCAAGUCAGUACAAAAAAAGGAUAUAAAGAUAUUUUCCCUGUUGUGCAUUUGACAAAUUCCAAACUUCAUCAUUAAGGAAAGCCACCGUUGCUCCCUUGAGGAAAAGGCAGUGGCUAUCUGGAGGAUCCAACUUUAUAGAAGAGACAAAGACAAAGCAACCACUAUUAAGUUGAACAGCACAAAGAUGCUCAGACUACAAAGUCUUUAGUACAAAUUAAACAUUGUAGGAAGCAUAGCACUUGCUACAAGCUUAAACAGCCAGUAGUUACCUGCCAUUAGUUAACUCUUAGGUUUCCUUCUCUAUGCUGUGAUGAAGUAGAUAGAACAGGGCAGUUGCAGGGCCGAUCUGGCAUCUGGGGGAGAUGGGGUAAUGUGUUUGAUAGCUUCUCUGUGUGCCUUCUGCCCACUACUGUCAGGCACCUUUGUCUGGACUGGUAUAUUAUUAUAGUACUUAUAUAUUAGCUAUGAUAUAAACAUUCAAUUAGAAUUCUGUUGAAAAAUAUUUCCUUGGGAGGUAAUUCAUCUAUAUAGACAUACAGGAAUAUCAAUUUGGGUUAUAAAAUUAUGAUAGUAUUAUUUAUAAUUAUUUCAUUACAGUUAUAAGGUUACUGGAAAGAAAAUUUUUAGGGUCUGGGAGAUGACUCAAGCUACCAAUGUAGUUGUUGCAUAGACACAAGGACCCAAGGUCGGACGCUAGCACCCAGUAAAAGGCCAGGUGCAGCAACACACCUGUCAUCCCAGAUGUAAAAGGCCAGGUGCAGCAACACACCUGUCAUCCCAGAUGUAAAAGGUCAGGUGCAGCAGCACACCUGUCAUCCCAGAUGUAAAAGGCCAGGUGCAGCAGCACACCUGUCAUCCCAGAUGUAAAAGGCCAGGUGCAGCAGCAUACCUGUCAUCCCAGAUGUAAAAGGCCAGGUGCAGCAGCACACCUGUCAUCCCAGAUGUAAAAUGCCAGGUGCAGAGGCACACCUGUCAUCCCAGAUGUAAAAGGCCAGGUACAGAGGCACACCUGUCAUCCCAGAUGUAAAAGGCCAGGUGCAGCAGCACACCUGUCAUCCCAGAUGUAAAAUGCCAGGUGCAGAGGCACACCUGUCAUCCCAGAUGUAAAAGGCCAGGUACAGAGGCACACCUGUCAUCCCAGAUGUAAAAGGCCAGGUGCAGCAGCACACCUGUCAUCCCAGAUGUAAAAUGCCAGGUGCAGUAGCACAGCUGUCAUCCCAGAGCUAGAGAGGCAGAGACAGGAUACUUGGGUCUUGGUGCCAGCCAGUCUAGCCAAACUGGCAAGCUUUAAACUCAGUGAGAGAUCCUCUCUCAAAAGAUAGGGUGGAGAACAAUAGAGGGAGAGACCAGAUGUUUACCUCUGGCCUCUCUUGCAUAUACACGUGUACACAACCAUAAAAGUGUAAUAUGAAAUACAAUUUAAAAAUACAACUGUAACUCAUUCUAACUGAACCACUUCCCUGCUGGAUAGAAUCUGACCAGUGCAUACCUAACACAGAAAAGAAGCUCCAUUCUUUUAAGCCCAGGGUGUAAUUAGAACUUAUGCUGCUCUUUGCUAAUGGCAUUCCCUUGGUGUAAUAGCAAGGCUUUACUAUUUCUGAUAAUACCUGAAGGUUUUCUUCUGUUGUUACCCAAUGGCCUCCGACACCAAGAAGUGUGAUGAUGUCAUGCUUAUGUGGCAGAUGUAACUUUACAGCUGGUUCAUCAUCUUUACUAUAUAAUCUCACUUACAAAUGAGUAAGU